rnacentral:sRNA from 1 species
UUCGGCAUAAGGCUUGCAAUUUCUGUAACCCCAUGUUAUUCUAAGGAAGAAUUAUUUUUGUUCGGAUAACUUUGUAUAAAGUGUCAGAUGUUCAUCUGCAAGAUUUGAGCAAGGAUAGUAAUACAAUGUAUGCUUACGCAUACGAGGAGGAAACACACAUGGAACAAGGUAAAGUAAAAUGGUUUAACUCAGAAAAAGGAUUCGGCUUCAUCGAGCGCGAAGGCGGAGACGACGUAUUCGUACACUUCUCAGCUAUUCAAAGCGAAGGAUUCAAAUCUUUAGAAGAAGGUCAAGAAGUUACUUUCGAUAUCGAGCAAGGCCAACGCGGUCUUCAAGCUACUAACGUAGUUAAAGCUUAAUUUUAACUUAACUUUUUAUGGGCUCCCUUUAUGGGGAGUCCAUUUUU